GAUCAUGGCUCAGGACGAACGCUGGCGGCGUGCUUAACACAUGCAAGUUGAACGGUAUGACAUGGAAGCUUGCUGAAGUGUCAUAUAGUAGCGGACGGGUGAGUAAUGCAUGAGGAGCUGCCAUUGGGAGGGGGACAACAGUUGGAAACGGCUGCUAAUACCCCGUAUGCCGGAGGGUGAAAGGGAGUAAUCCGCCCGAUGAGGUGCUCAUGUCCUAUCAGCUGGUUGGUGGGGUAACGGCCUACCAAGGCGACGACGGGUAGCCGGCCUGAGAGGGUGAACGGCCACACUGGAACUGAGAUACGGUCCAGACUCCUACGGGAGGCAGCAGUGGGGAAUAUUGGGCAAAUGGGGGCAACCCUGACCCAGCGACGCCGCGUGGGGGAAGACGGCCUUCGGGUUGUAAACCUCUUUUGUACGGGAAGAAGGAAGUGACGGUACUGUACGAAUAAGUCCCGGCUAACUACGUGCCAGCAGCCGC
rnacentral:rRNA from 1 species